rnacentral:rRNA from 1 species
AGAGUUGAUCCUGGCUCACAACGAAGUCUAGCGGCGUGCUUACUACAUGCAAGUCGUGCGAGAAAGUCACCUUCGGGUGGUGAGUAAAGCGGUGAACGGGUGAUUAACACGUAAGAAACCUGCCCCUAAAUCCGGAAUAAGAUUGCGAACGCGGUGCUAAUACCGGAUGUGGUCUCCAGUUUGCAUGAACAGGAGAUUAAAGGUGACCUCUACUUGUAAGUUAUCGUUUAGGGAUGGUCUUGCGGACCAUUAGCUUGUUAGCGGGGUAACGGCCCACCAAGGCUGCGAUGGUAAGCCGGCUUAAGAGGGUGAUCGGGCACAUUGGGACUGAGAUACGGCCCAGACUCCUACGGGAAGCAGCAGUAGGGAAUCUUGCGCAAUGGACGAAAGUCUGACGCAGCAACGCCGCGUGAGCGAUGAAGGUUUCCGGAUUGUAACGCUCUGUUGAGUGGGAAGAAAACUCUCCGGGAUAAUACCCCGGAGACUUGACGGUACCACUCGAGGAAGCCCCGGCUAAAUACGUGCCAGCAGCCGCGGUAAUACGUAUGGGGCAAGCGUUGUUCGGAAUCACUGGGCGUAAAGGGAGUGUAGGCGGAAAGGUACGUUAGAAGUGUAAUCCACGGGCUUAACCCGUGACUCGCUUUUAAUACUGCUUUGCUUGAGUAUGGGAGAGGGAGAUGGAAUUCCAGGUGUAGCGGUGGAAUGCGUAGAUAUCUGGAAGAACACCAGUAGCGAAGGCGGUCUCCUGGGCCAAUACUGACGCUGAGGCUCGAAAGCGUGGGGAGCGAACAGGAUUAGAUACCCUGGUAGUCCACGCCGUAAACGAUGGACACUAGAUGUUGAGCUCUUCGAGGGUCGGAGUCGUAGCUAACGCGUUAAGUUGUCCGACCUGGGAAGUACGCUUCGCAUAAGUGAAAAUCAGAGGAAUUGACGGGGGCCUGAACAAACGGUGGAGCAUGUG